rnacentral:rRNA from 1 species
GUACACAAAAAUGCACAUACUGUGAGCUCGAUGAGUAGGGCGGGACACGUGGUAUCCUGUCUGAAUAUGGGGGGACCAUCCUCCAAGGCUAAAUACUCCUGACUGACCGAUAGUGAACCAGUACCGUGAGGGAAAGGCGAAAAGAACCCCGGCGAGGGGAGUGAAAAAGAACCUGAAACCGUGUACGUACAAGCAGUGGGAGCCUCUUAAUGGGGUGACUGCGUACCUUUUGUAUAAUGGGUCAGCGACUUAUAUUCUGUAGCAAGGUUAACCGAAUAGGGGAGCCGAAGGGAAACCGAGUCUUAACUGGGCGUUAAGUUGCAGGGUAUAGACCCGAAACCCGGUGAUCUAGCCAUGGGCAGGUUGAAGGUUGGGUAACACUAACUGGAGGACCGAACCGACUAAUGUUGAAAAAUUAGCGGAUGACUUGUGGCUGGGGGUGAAAGGCCAAUCAAACCGGGAGAUAGCUGGUUCUCCCCGAAAGCUAUUUAGGUAGCGCCUCGUGAAUUCAUCUCCGGGGGUAGAGCACUGUUUCGGCAAGGGGGUCAUCCCGACUUACCAACCCGAUGCAAACUGCGAAUACCGGAGAAUGUUAUCACGGGAGACACACGGCGGGUGCUAACGUCCGUCGUGAAGAGGGAAACAACCCAGACCGCCAGCUAAGGUCCCAAAGUCAUGGUUAAGUGGGAAACGAUGUGGGAAGGCCCAGACAGCCAGGAUGUUGGCUUAGAAGCAGCCAUCAUUUAAAGAAAGCGUAAUAGCUCACUGGUCGAGUCGGCCUGCGCGGAAGAUGUAACGGGGCUAAACCAUGCACCGAAGCUGCGGCAGCGACACUAUGUGUUGUUGGGUAGGGGAGCGUUCUGUAAGCCUGUGAAGGUGUACUGUGAGGUAUGCUGGAGGUAUCAGAAGUGCGAAUGCUGACAUAAGUAACGAUAAAGCGGGUGAAAAGCCCGCUCGCCGGAAGACCAAGGGUUCCUGUCCAACGUUAAUCGGGGCAGGGUGAGUCGACCCCUAAGGCGAGGCCGAAAGGCGUAGUCGAUGGGAAACAGGUUAAUAUUCCUGUACUUGGUGUUACUGCGAAGGGGGGACGGAGAAGGCUAUGUUGGCCGGGCGACGGUUGUCCCGGUUUAAGCGUGUAGGCUGGUUUUCCAGGCAAAUCCGGAAAAUCAAGGCUGAGGCGUGAUGACGAGGCACUACGGUGCUGAAGCAACAAAUGCCCUGCUUCCAGGAAAAGCCUCUAAGCAUCAGGUAACAUCAAAUCGUACCCCAAACCGACACAGGUGGUCAGGUAGAGAAUACCAAGGCGCUUGAGAGAACUCGGGUGAAGGAACUAGGCAAAAUGGUGCCGUAACUUCGGGAGAAGGCACGCUGAUAUGUAGGUGAAGUCCCUUGCG